rnacentral:rRNA from 1 species
CGGUAAUACGUAGGUGGCAAGCGUUGUCCGGAAUUAUUGGGCGUAAAGCGCGCGCAGGCGGUCCUUUAAGUCUGAUGUGAAAGCCCACGGCUCAACCGUGGAGGGUCAUUGGAAACUGGGGGACUUGAGUACAGAAGAGGAAAGCGGAAUUCCAAGUGUAGCGGUGAAAUGCGUAGAGAUUUGGAGGAACACCAGUGGCGAAGGCGGCUUUCUGGUCUGUAACUGACGCUGAGGCGCGAAAGCGUGGGGAGCAAACAGGAUUAGAUACCCUGGUAGUCCACGCCGUAAACGAUGAGUGCUAAGUGUUAGGGGGUUUCCGCCCCUUAGUGCUGCAGCUAACGCAUUAAGCACUCCGCCUGGGGAGUACGGCCGCAAGGCUGAAACUC